rnacentral:piRNA from 1 species
UAAAAGGUCGAAUUACUUGAAAAGAAAAGA